rnacentral:rRNA from 1 species
GAGGUUAAGCGACUAAGCGUACACGGUGGAUGCCCUGGCAGUCAGAGGCGAUGAAGGGCGUGCUAAUCUGCGAUAAGCGCCGGUAAGGUGAUAUGAACCGUUAUAACCGGCGAUACCCGAAUGGGGAAACCCAGUGUGAUUCGUCACACUAUCAUUAACUGAAUCCAUAGGUUAAUGAGGCGAACCGGGGGAACUGAAACAUCUAAGUACCCCGAGGAAAAGAAAUCAACCGAGAUUCCCCCAGUAGCGGCGAGCGAACGGGGAGGAGCCCAGAGCCUGAAUCAGCAUGUGUGUUAGUGGAAGCGUCUGGAAAGGCGCGCGAUACAGGGUGACAGCCCCGUACACAAAAGCGCAUGUGCUGUGAGCUCGAUGAGUAGGGCGGGACACGUGGUAUCCUGUCUGAAUAUGGGGGGACCAUCCUCCAAGGCUAAAUACUCCUGACUGACCGAUAGUGAACCAGUACCGUGAGGGAAAGGCGAAAAGAACCCCGGCGAGGGGAGUGAAAAAGAACCUGAAACCGUGUACGUACAAGCAGUGGGAGCACAGGUUUACCUGUGUGACUGCGUACCUUUUGUAUAAUGGGUCAGCGACUUAUAUUCUGUAGCAAGGUUAACCGUAUAGGGGAGCCGGAGGGAAACCGAGUCUUAAUUGGGCGUUAAGUUGCAGGGUAUAGACCCGAAACCCGGUGAUCUAGCCAUGGGCAGGUUGAAGGUUGGGUAACACUAACUGGAGGACCGAACCGACUAAUGUUGAAAAAUUAGCGGAUGACCUGUGGCUGGGGGUGAAAGGCCAAUCAAACCGGGAGAUAGCUGGUUCUCCCCGAAAGCUAUUUAGGUAGCGCCUCGUGAAUUCAUCUCCGGGGGUAGAGCACUGUUUCGGCUAGGGGGCCAUCCCGGCUUACCAACCCGAUGCAAACUGCGAAUACCGGAGAAUGUUAUCACGGGAGACACACGGCGGGUGCUAACGUCCGUCGUGAAGAGGGAAACAACCCAGACCGCCAGCUAAGGUCCCAAAGUCAUGGUUAAGUGGGAAACGAUGUGGGAAGGCCCAGACAGCCAGGAUGUUGGCUUAGAAGCAGCCAUCAUUUAAAGAAAGCGUAAUAGCUCACUGGUCGAGUCGGCCUGCGCGGAAGAUGUAACGGGGCUAAACCAU